rnacentral:rRNA from 1 species
UACAGGGGGUGCAAACGUUGCUCGGAAUCAUUGGGCGUAAAGCGCGUGUAGGCGGUCCGGUAAGUCCGCUGUGAAAGUCGGGGGCUCAACCCUCGAAUGCCGGUGGAUACUGUCGGGCUAGAGUACGGAAGAGGCGAGUGGAAUUCCUGGUGUAGCGGUGAAAUGCGCAGAUAUCAGGAGGAACACCGGUGGCGAAGGCGGGUCUCUGGGCCGAUACUGACGCUGAGGAGCGAAAGCGUGGGGAGCAAACAGG